rnacentral:lncRNA from 1 species
CUCACCUGACUCUUGGCUUUGGACAUCCAAUUACUCAGACCACAGCCUUGGAUUGACCCUGGAUACUGCUUCUGCUUUGGCCCACGUUGAUGUUGUCUCUGGCUAGUACCCUAAUGACUCAUAGCUCAGUUGGUUAGAGCAUGGUGCUGAUAAGGUCGCAGGUCCGAUCCCUAUAUAGGACAGCUGCAUGUUUCCUGAAUUGCAGCGGCUUGGACUAGAUGGUCUUCAGGGUCCUUUGCCUUCCAACUGUACAAUUUGAUGAGUCUAUGGUUCAGGAACCUUGUGAGAACAAGACACCACUCCCGACUGUUGCCAUUUUAUAACCACUAGGGUUAUUACAUUUAGAGACUUUAUCCAUCACACAAAACACAAACACACACAGAAUAGAGCAAAACUCUGGAAUCUAGACAUUUAAACUUAAAAUACUGCAGAGCUGUAUUUCCCCACUGCAUUUCAAGUAGCAUUUGCACAUGCUGAAUACAGCACAAAGGGGAUAGGGGUAUCCUCACCCAAUGCACAGGACCUGUUUCCCCAUACCUGCAACACCCUCCAAACCACUAUUCAAGGAAACUGUCCUUUGAGCAUGUGCUGUCAUCUGCACACGCCCAGUGACUGUCUUAACUGUACACACCUCAGCUGAACCUUGGCUUGCAUAUAUUCAAAUCAGAUGGAAGCUGGUUUGAGGUAAAACACAUCAAACAGGAGAAUUUCUCAAGAAACUCCAGGAUGCAUAUGGAUCAAGGCUAAGAUACCAUGUACUUGGCUUCAAACCCCAGUGAUGGGAGUGUGCUGGAGCUGGACUAAAUGGUAAUUUGUUCACAGCCUGUGGAAUGCGUCCUUGAAGUGAAGUUGAUCCAUGUAAGUGCCCAACCAUUAACUUCAAUUGGUUUACUUAUCUGCUGCAUUCCUGCCUCCAAGAAAUUUUAAAACACAUAAAUAUACUAAUUUAAUUCCAUGACAAGUAUAUAGGGCACAUAAAUAAUGAGUAAUAGUAUUUUAUGGACUCUAUAUAAGUGGAUGCUAAGGUUGACCCUCUGAGUAAACAUAGGUAAAUUAAUAACUUCUUUUAUUGUAGGAAAAAUAAAAAUAAGCCUAUCUUGGCACAGCUUGCAAUAUUUUUCCCUCCUUGUUUUGGUCUCUGAUUAAUUUUUCAUGGGCCUUAAAUUUCCUCAGUGCAUAAGAUUAAGACCUGCAGCUCACCUUCAUUUAUGCCAGAGCUCACAAUGCUCUGGGCAUAUGAUUAAACAAUAUAAUCACUGGCUAAGAAACUAUGGGAGGCUGCUAGCUAUAAAUAAAAAAAACUCCUUCAGACUUUGGUUCUUCUUACACUUGCAAGCUAGGAACAGCUUUUUACAGAGACCCUAUACCUCUGACUGUAAUCAGUUUUAACUGUUUUUAAUUCUGAAUUUUAAAUUGUUGUAAACUGUCCUGAGACUUACUGGUGGUAACAGCAACAACAACAAUGGCAGCUUAAUAUCCAACGAUCUUAGACUCCAAUCACAUUGUUUUCAGGUGUCCUGUCCCCAUCAGGAUCGGAAGGACAGAAACAUCCUCUCUCUGCUUUCCAUGAUGGGCCAGUUCAGGCUGAAAAUACCGUCCAUACCAAUCUGCUAAGCUUGCGACUAAGAAUAAGCAAGUCUUUAAUGUGUUCUCUUAGCUUAGAAUCUGCCAAGGCUUGCAAACCAGGGGGCAUCACUUUCUUAAAAAUGGCCUGUGAACUGUGUGUGAUGGAUCAAGACACAUCAAAGAAGUGCUUCAGUUAAAUAUGUUGUAAAUUUAAACAGGGGAAACAGGUACAGAAAAUCAGGACACUACAGCACCAUCUGGUGGCACAAUGUUCUAUCACAUAUACAACACAUAUAAAUUGCGUUUUCGUUACCAAUAUAGCUGAGUGAUUGGUGAUAAGCCACAAUUGUUGACACUUUCUAAGAUAAGGGACAGUCCUGUGGCAUGAGUGACGUAUAUUAAGAAAAGGGAAACAUCU